UACGGAGGGGGCGAGCGUUAUUCGGAAUUAUUGGGCGUAAAGCGCACGUAGGCGGAUUCUUAAGUCAGGGGUGAAAUCCUGGAGCUCAACUCCAGAACUGCCUUUGAUACUGGGAAUCUCGAGUCCGGGAGAGGUGAGUGGAACUGCGAGUGUAGAGGUGAAAUUCGUAGAUAUUCGCAAGAACACCAGUGGCGAAGGCGGCUCACUGGCCCGGUACUGACGCUGAGGUGCGAAAGCGUGGGGAGCAAACAGG
rnacentral:rRNA from 1 species